rnacentral:rRNA from 1 species
GCGUGCUUAACACAUGCAAGUCGAACGAUGAUCCUCAGCUUGCUGGGGGGAUUAGUGGCGAACGGGUGAGUAACACGUGAGUAACCUGCCCUUGACUCUGGGAUAAGCCUGGGAAACUGGGUCUAAUACCGGAUAUGACUUCUCAUCGCAUGGUGGGGGGUGGAAAGCUUUUUGUGGUUUUGGAUGGACUCGCGGCCUAUCAGCUUGUUGGUGGGGUAAUGGCCUACCAAGGCGACGACGGGUAGCCGGCCUGAGAGGGUGACCGGCCACACUGGGACUGAGACACGGCCCAGACUCCUACGGGAGGCAGCAGUGGGGAAUAUUGCACAAUGGGCGCAAGCCUGAUGCAGCGACGCCGCGUGAGGGAUGACGGCCUUCGGGUUGUAAACCUCUUUCAGUAGGGAAGAAGCCUUUCGGGGUGACGGUACUUGCAGAAGAAGCGCCGGCUAACUACGUGCCAGCAGCCGCGGUAAUACGUAGGGCGCAAGCGUUAUCCGGAAUUAUUGGGCGUAAAGAGCUCGUAGGCGGUUUGUCGCGUCUGCUGUGAAAGACCGGGGCUCAACUCCGGUUCUGCAGUGGGUACGGGCAGACUAGAGUGCAGUAGGGGAGACUGGAAUUCCUGGUGUAGCGGUGAAAUGCGCAGAUAUCAGGAGGAACACCGAUGGCGAAGG